GACGAACGCUGGCGGCGUGCCUAAUACAUGCAAGUAGAACGCUGAAGGAGGAGCUUGCUUCUCUGGAUGAGUUGCGAACGGGUGAGUAACGCGUAGGUAACCUGCCUGGUAGCGGGGGAUAACUAUUGGAAACGAUAGCUAAUACCGCAUAAUAGUAGAUGUUGCAUGACAUUUGCUUAAAAGGUGCAAUUGCAUCACUACCAGAUGGACCUGCGUUGUAUUAGCUAGUUGGUGAGGUAACGGCUCACCAAGGCAACGAUACAUAGCCGACCUGAGAGGGGGAUCGGCCACACUGGGACUGAGACACGGCCCAGACUCCUUCGGGAGGCAGCAGUAGGGAAUCUUCGGCAAUGGACGGAAGUCUGACCGAGCAACGCCGCGUGAGUGAAGAAGGUUUUCGGAUCGUAAAGCUCGGUUGUAAGAGAAGAACGAGUGUGAGAGUGGAAAGUUCACACUGUGACGGUAUCUGACCAGAAAGGGACGGCUAACUACGUG
rnacentral:rRNA from 1 species